AUGAUUCUUAGUUAAUCUUCAUUCAACCAUGGGUUGUUUUUGUUAUGCAAAAAAUAAGUAAAACUUAGGUUGAAUAAACUUAAGUUUUUUUAUUUUAGUUAAGAAAAAUAGACAAGUGGUGGUAGUCCGCCACUCUAAGGGGACGCCUUUAGGAGAAGAGGCUAGGGGGUAUUCCGGUGUGGGAUACUUAGUAAUAUGCAACGCUAAUUGCAUAAGAUUGUAGGACGGAAUUUACAGUCUUGGUUUUUCAAACCUGAAACUAAGUAAGC
rnacentral:sRNA from 12 species